rnacentral:rRNA from 1 species
UAACUUCUGAGUAAAACCAUAAAUAAAUCAAAACUUUCAACAACGGAUCUCUUGGCUCUGGCAUGGAUGAAGAACGCAGCGAAAUGCGAUAAGUAAUGUGAAUUGCAGAAUUCAGUGAAUCAUCGAAUCUUUGAACGCACAUUGCGCCCGCCAGUAUUCUGGCGGGCAUGCCUGU